GAAAGACCACACGUGUCGCUCAACCCUCAAUUUUAGUUUUUUUUUUUCAUUUUUCUUUUCUCUUUCUGCGUUAUUCUUCGUCUUCCCUUGUCAUCUUCAGAAUCUUCUCUACGGAUUUCAUGAUGGGAGGAGUUGCAGCCAUUGUCGCCAAAUCCGCAGCUGCUCCAAUCGAAAGGGUGAAGCUUUUACUCCAAAACCAAGGCGAAUUGAUCAAAACAAGACAUCUCACAAGACCCUACACCGGUCUAGGUAACUGCUUCGUUAGAAUCUUCAGAGAAGAAGGUGUUUUAUCCUUCUGGAGAGGAAACCAAGCCAACGUCAUACGUUAUUUCCCUACACAGGUUUGAUUAAAAGUGAGAGCUUAAUCUUUAGACACUUUUGAGUGUUGUUUUGUGUGUUAAGAGACCCGUCUCAGCAGUGGUCAUUCCGGUUACAGCCAGCUUCUUCCAGUGGUUCCUGCUCCUGUUGUUGUCCGAAGACCAAAGCCUAUUCGUAAACCGAGAGUGACUUCCCCGGUUCGAGCUUCUGGAUCAGUGGCUAUAGUUCAGAAGAUGACAGGUUCGUGGGUCUCAAAGGGAAGGACUUCAGAAGAUGUAUAGGUCGUGAGAAGAAGAAGAAACGUAGCCUUUAAAGGUUACUUCAAGACCCAGCUUCACCGUAUUGCUUAUAAGCAUUGGCUUCACUAGUCUCACUUGCAUUCCAAUGUGUUGUUUUUAUUAACAGAAUCAUUUUAAACAAAUGAGGAUAGGGGGAAAUUGUUGAUAAUUCUUGUGCAGAUACAUUUGUUAUUUCAAUGGCUCUGUGGAAGCUUCAAUGGUUCAUUGGUUCUGAUGAACUGAGAUUCUUGGAAGCUUCAAUGGCUCUGUCGCAUGUUAAAAACGAUGGCGUUCUUAUUCAAUGCUCCAUGAAACAAGAUGGUCACUUGUAGGUUGGUGAAUCUCGCCUUGUCAAGCCGGAAGAAGAGAGAGCGGUGACAAGGUGAAGCCGGAAGUGGAGACAACGGUGAAGCUACGGCUGAGGUGGUGAAGCCGAAGGAGUACAGAUGGAAGUUGGGCUAGUAUCAUUUUCUGGUUUUGAUUGUUUGGUCUCUGGAGUUAUAUCAUUCAUAAGAGCGAUUAGGAGGUGUUUUUGGAUUAUGAAAAAGGGAAUUGUAAUUGAUUAAUAUAAAGAAUUGUAGUUGUUAUA